AUGCUGAGGGAAUUGAUGAAAUCUAAAGGAAAUAGCCUUAUGGCUAUUGAAGUAGUCGAGGAAGAGAGAUUUGAGGAUGCCCCUUAUGGGGCUGGAUCGUGUUCGACUGGAAUCGUGCCAAUUCCUGGAAGCUCUGUGUGUGGGUCGUCGGCUCCGGCAAGUUCUGAGAUCGACGGUGAGCUCGUUUGUGCGAGAGGGAGGGGGAAUUGUUUGAACGAGCCGCGGCUGGGACCUGCGGCUGUCCUUGCACCGUUGAUCUCAGGACGGGUGGUGCAUGCGAAAGCGGCUUCUAAAAAUACGCGUCUCAGGUUAGGUAAUAGCGAUGAGGAGGAGGUUGCGGAUUUUUACGGGCAGUUGUGGGUUGUCCCAUCCCCCCGCCGCCACCCUCGUCCUCAUAUACCACAUCACCAGCCUCCUAACCCUAAAUUCGCCAUUCCCAAGCUCUUCUGGGUGAGGAAGGAUAUGUUCCAAUCCAAAUCCUUCACCAUCGAGGAUUGCUUCCCAGUUCCUCAUCCUGGUCUUGACCCUACCCCUACCAAAUUUCAGAUAACAGUGCCUGGUUUUUUGCUGGGGAGUAGAUCAUUUGCUGAGGUAGUGAGAGAUAUGGAGAAUCAGGGACAAGGUAACCGGAAUUGCCAGCCUCCGGCAGCAAAGAAGGCGGCACCAACUCAGGAAGGAAGAUCUGCGGGUCCUCCUCAGGUGAUCCCAGUCCAGCACGGAGGAAACAAGACGGGUGGAGGGGGGAAACAAGCUCCAGCCCCUGCCCCAGCCCCAGCCCCGGCCCCGAUCCCUCAGGCCCCUCAACCUGCCCCUUUGGUUCAACCUCUAGAUCCAAGGUAUAAGGAGAUGACUUGCUUCAAUUGUGGCUGGCCUGGAGACUAUGUUGGCAAUUGUAUCGAAGCCAAGAAAUGUUUUAUAUGA
rnacentral:rRNA from 1 species